AUUGAACGCUGGCGGCAGGCCUAACACAUGCAAGUCGAGCGGAUGAAGGGAGCUUGCUCCUGGAUUCAGCGGCGGACGGGUGAGUAAUGCCUAGGAAUCUGCCUGGUAGUGGGGGAUAACGUCCGGAAACGGGCGCUAAUACCGCAUACGUCCUGAGGGAGAAAGUGGGGGAUCUUCGGACCUCACGCUAUCAGAUGAGCCUAGGUCGGAUUAGCUAGUUGGUGGGGUAAAGGCCUACCAAGGCGACGAUCCGUAACUGGUCUGAGAGGAUGAUCAGUCACACUGGAACUGAGGCACGGUCCAGACUCCUACGGGAGGCAGCAGUGGGGAAUAUUGGACAAUGGGCGAAAGCCUGAUCCAGCCAUGCCGCGUGUGUGAAGAAGGUCUUCGGAUUGUAAAGCACCUUAAGUUGGGAGGAAGGGCAGUAAGUUAAUACCUUGCUGUUUUGACGUUACCAACAGAAUAAGCACCGGCUAACUUCGUG
rnacentral:rRNA from 1 species